rnacentral:tRNA from 3 species
GGUCCGGUAGUUCAGCUGGUUAGAAUGCCGCCCUGUCACGGCGGAGGUCGCGGGUUCGAGUCCCGUCCGGACCG